GAUGAACGCUGGCGGCGUGCUUAACACAUGCAAGUCGAGCGGAAAGGCUCAAGCUUGCUUGGGUACUCGAGUGGCGAACGGGUGAGUAACACGUGGGUGAUCUGCCCUGCACUUCGGGAUAAGCCUGGGAAACUGGGUCUAAUACCGGAUAGGACGAUGGUUUGGAUGCCAUUGUGGAAAGUUUUUUCGGUGUGGGAUGAGCUCGCGGCCUAUCAGCUUGUUGGUGGGGUAAUGGCCUACCAAGGCGUCGACGGGUAGCCGGCCUGAGAGGGUGUACGGCCACAUUGGGACUGAGAUACGGCCCAGACUCCUACGGGCGGCAGCAGUGGGGGAUAUUGCACAAUGGGCGCGAGCCUGAUGCAGCGACGCCGCGUGGGGGAUGACGGCCUUCGGGUUGUAAGCUCCUUUCGCUAGGGACGAAGCGUUUUUGUGACGGUACCUGGAGAAGAAGCACCGGCUAACUACGUG
rnacentral:rRNA from 1 species